rnacentral:rRNA from 1 species
UACGGGGGGUGCAAACGUUGUUCUGAAUCACUGGGCGUAAAGAGCGCGUAGGCGGCCUUGUAAGUGGGGUGUGAAAUCCCCCGGCUCAACCGGGGAACUGCAUCCCAUACUGCAUGGCUUGAGGGCAGCAGAGGAAACGGGAAUUCCCGGUGUAGCGGUGAAAUGCGUAGAGAUCCGGAGGAACCCCAGAGGCGAAGGCGGCGUCCUGGCUCGCAUCUGACGCUCAGACACGACAGCAUGGGGAGCGAACGGG